UUCUUCUCUGUAAGCAACGAAGGAGAAACCCCACAGUAACCACCCACCUCACCAUGGCGCCGCCGCUACACACCAUCCCCCGCCGUUCUGAGGGCACCGGCGGAUGCGCCUCGUCGUCCUCUACCUCCUGGUGCGCGGAAUCGUCCCGAGAGGCCCCGAGUUGAGCGCAAGGUCGCCGAUUCUUCUCGCCGGACUUCAUGUUUCUUCUCCGAUUCCGGCCACCCUCGUCCUUCUCCGGCCAAACCGAGCGCACCUCCGGCUUCCUUGUGUUCUCGCGCAUCCCCGACGCCUAGCGCCUUGUCCCGCUUCGCCUCGAAUCGUCGGGCUCGUGCUCGACCAGAUCCUCCCAGACAUGGAAGUUCUGUCCAAGGUCUCCGUUUCGCCUGCUUCAAGAGCAACUGCGGCCCAUCAUGUUCAACAUCCACGUAGCAGCCCAUCCGUGGAUGGCCCUUGGCCCAACUUCCUCUCGCGGCGCCACUUCACUAUCCUGCGCCAGCAGCAGGCCAGAUCCGGCCCAGGACAGCACAGCAUUUUCUUCUUCCCGGAUAGGAACGCGAAGUGGUGUGGUGAGAUACGAC